UACGAAGGGGGCGAGCGUUGUUCGGAAUUACUGGGCGUAAAGGGCGCGCAGGCGGCUCUGAAAGUCAGAUGUGAAAGCCCCGGGCUUAACCUGGGAAUUGCAUUUGAUACUCUGGAGCUUGAGUACGGGAGAGGAGAGUGGAAUUCCCAGUGUAGAGGUGAGAUUCGUAGAUAUUGGGAAGAACACCGGUGGCGAAGGCGGCUCUCUGGACCGUAACUGACGCUGAGGCGCGAAAGCGUGGGGAGCAAACAGG
rnacentral:rRNA from 1 species